GCUUGAAUAUGAUUCAACUUGGGUGUGUAAAUUGGAUGAUUGGUUGUUUGUAGCCAGCAACAUUAUUCACGUUUCUGUAUGUGGCAGAUGUUAGGUAUUAGACUCUUCAGGCAAGAACAAGGGUUUAUGGAAACAAAAGCUUUAUUUUUAUUUAGAAAUGCAGGUGCACAUGUUCUCUGUUGAUGGAAAUCCAUUAAAAAUGAUUUGAUAUUUUGUCAAUUUUUAUUAAUUAUGAUCAUCAACAAUAUACCCUUUAAUUA